AGAGUUUGAACCUUGCUCAGGACGAACGCUGGCGGCGUGCCUAAUACAUGCAAGUUGAGCGCUGAAGGUUGGUACUUGUACCGACUGGAUGAGCAGCGAACGGGUGAGUAACGCGUGGGGAAUCUGCCUUUGAGCGGGGGACAACAUUUGGAAACGAAUGCUAAUACCGCAUAACAACUUUAAACACAAGUUUUAAGUUUGAAAGAUGCAAUUGCAUCACUCAAAGAUGAUCCCGCGUUGUAUUAGCUAGUUGGUGAGGUAAAGGCUCACCAAGGCGAUGAUACAUAGCCGACCUGAGAGGGUGAUCGGCCACAUUGGGACUGAGACACGGCCCAAACUCCUACGGGAGGCAGCAGUAGGGAAUCUUCGGCAAUGGACGAAAGUCUGACCGAGCAACGCCGCGUGAGUGAAGAAGGUUUUCGGAUCGUAAAACUCUGUUGGUAGAGAAGAACGUUGGUGAGAGUGGAAAGCUCAUCAAGUGACGGUAAC
rnacentral:rRNA from 1 species